rnacentral:rRNA from 1 species
UACGUAGGGUGCGAGCGUUAAUCGGAAUUACUGGGCGUAAAGCGUGCGCAGGCGGUUCGUUGUGUCGGCGGUGAAAGCCCCGGGCUUAACCUGGGAAUGGCCGUCGAAACUGGCGAACUGGAGUGUGGCAGAGGGGGGGUGGAAUUCCACGUGUAGCAGUGAAAUGCGUAGAGAUGUGGAGGAACACCGAUGGCGAAGGCAGCCCCCCUGGGCUAACACUGACGCUCAUGCACGAAAGCGUGGGGAGCAAACAGG